AUACCGCAUAAGCGCACAGCUUCGCAUGAAGCAGUGUGAAAAACUCCGGUGGUACAAGAUGGACCCGCGUCUGAUUAGCUGGUUGGUGAGGUAACGGCCCACCAAGGCAACGAUCAGUAGCCGGCCUGAGAGGGUGAACGGCCACAUUGGGACUGAGACACGGCCCAAACUCCUACGGGAGGCAGCAGUGGGGAAUAUUGCACAAUGGGGGAAACCCUGAUGCAGCAACGCCGCGUGAGUGAAGAAGUAUUUCGGUAUGUAAAGCUCUAUCAGCAGGAAAGAAAAUGACGGUACCUGACUAAGAAGCCCCGGCUAACUACGUGCCAGCAGCCGCGGUAAUACGUAGGGGGCAAGCGUUAUCCGGAUUUACUGGGUGUAAAGGGAGCGUAGACGGUUUUGCAAGUCUGAAGUGAAAGCCCGGGGCUUAACCCCGGGACUGCUUUGGAAACUGUAGAACUAGAGUGCAGGAGAGGUAAGUGGAAUUCCUAGUGUAGCGGUGAAAUGCGUAGAUAUUAGGAGGAACACCAGUGGCGAAGGCGGCUUACUGGACUGUAACUGACGUUGAGGCUCGAAAGCGUGGGGAGCAAACAGGAUUAGAUACCCUGGUAGUCCACGCCGUAAACGAUGAUUACUAGGUGUUGGUGGGUAUGACCCAUCGGUGCCGCAGCAAACGCAAUAAGUAAUCCACCUGGGGAG
rnacentral:rRNA from 1 species